AUAGCGCGACACGUCUCCCAGAGAGGCUGGAGGGGGAGGGGAACGGGAAAAUGUCAGAUUAUACAACUGUUGAAUUAUAUCACUUAAUUGCAGUGUGUGGACUAGGCCUACUAGGCUGUAUAGUCCGACUUUGUAAUUUUGGGAGAUUUGAUGAGCACAAUCAAAUACAAUUAGAUUUGAUUCAUAAAUAAGUAACUAAAGAUGAAAAAAUUAAUGAGACCUAAUUUGAAAAUCUGUAAACUGAACACUUUUUUUUUGGUUGGAUAAUUGUCAUAGUAGACGUAUGGCAGUCAAGCAAGCAGGAAGGCAGUAAACGGUUACAGGUCUACGACAACACAACGAGUUACCAACCCUGCCCUGCCCGCAUCCGAUGAAGCCAAAUUUUCCUGGAGUUCCCGCAAUUUCUCAUCGGAGCGAGCGGCCAAAACAAGCACCGACCUCGGUUUAAGUAACAGGGAAAUCUCUUUCGCUAUGGUUCGGCCAAAUCCUUUGGACGCCCCGGUGAUGAUGCACAGCGCUCUCCCUAGGUCCUUCGCGUCUGGUAUAAUUACGUUGGAGAUACCAUUGGCCUGCAUUUUGGUGAAAUGGGAGCGGAAAUGUACAGCUUCUACUUAUAAAGGCUGGGAGAGUUUUGUAAAGAACCGUUUUAAAAUAAUUGUUCAAAUCGAUUAGAUUGAGGAACGGAUAUGGAUGCCAAAAAUAAACAUGACGAAUGAGCACUCCUUUUAUCCCGCCCACUUUAUGAUGUUCAAGCGAAUUCGCGACUUAGUUUGUACAAUGAAUAAGCAAAUGUUUUAUUAAAUGCCUAGAUGUGGGCUGUGCUGGCCAAAAUGUGUUCUUAUCAAUGAUGUAUCUUAUUGUAGCGAUAUCCGCGGUUAUAAACUGGGGUCGCUACAUUAUUUAAGCAAAUGAAAAAUUAAAAUAUAAGAUAAGACAACCGAGGUAAAGACAGUUUCUGAGCCAUAGACUCCAAAUAAGUGUCAUAAUGUUGGAAAAAUUGCCCACAACAUUGCACAGGUCUUAUUUUCACGAUUUGGACAUUAAUUCGCGUUUCAAAGCUAAUAAACAUGUGGAAAUGUGAGCAGCAUUUUGUAGUCCUAGUUGAAUUCGUUAGGGAAUGUAAACAAAGUACAAACUUUUUUUACAUUCAAAUUUCAAUAGUUCCUUGGUCAUGUGACCUAGUGACUUCAAACAAGGUUCAGAAUGUCCACUGACUACCCUUCUAUAUUGCACACCCUUUAGUUUGUCCAUUUUCAUCUCACAUGGUUUUACACACAUUUUUCUAAAUUUAGAAUUUCAAUAGCUCCUUGGUCAUGUGACCUGGUGACUUCCAACAAGGUUCAGCAUGUCCACUCAGUGGCCCUACACAUUGCACACCCUUUAGUUUGUCCAUUUUCAUCUCACAUGGUUUUACAUGAAUUUUUAAAAAUUUUAAAUUUCAAUAGCUCCUUGGUCAUGUGACCUAAUAUCCGCUGACUACCCUUCUAUAUUGCACACUCUUGUUUGUGUACUGUAAAAUCACGCGUUGUAACGUACAUUUUUCAUAGUUUCACAUUUGCAAUAGCUCCUUGGUCAUGUCAAUUACGCUCCUAAGAAGCAUGCAGUGUAUAUACAGCCAUAUUGCAUAACCUCUAGUCAUGUAUCUUCUAUAUUGUUGUACAUUAAUAUUAGUUUGACAAUUACGGGGUUCAGUCCAGUGUUGUUUACCCUUUUCUUUAAUAUUUAUCUACAAUAAUUGGUUGUUCUAAGUACUUAUUUUCCCUGUUUUUUAUUUUUCCACAGUAUUUAACAGUGGUACACAAUAGGAGAGAGACAAAUAAUAUCUCCUUUCGUUGUUAAUAUCAACCAUAAAGGAAAAAGUAUAAGAGUCAUGCUAUUAAUUGUCCAAAGCAGGGAUGGAGAGUGAGCUGGUGAGGUAGGCUGCAGUGGGUUUGCUGGUCAAUACAUAUACUGAACAUGUAACCACAGUAAUGGUGGCUAGUAAAUCCAUGAAUAAAAAUGUAAUAUUGACAAAUUAAA